rnacentral:lncRNA from 1 species
GGUUAGAUUUCACACCUGAUUUGAUUUUAUUUUGUUCAGAUUUGAUAUUUCAUCAUUGAGAUCUUGUGGUUUGAAUCCUUUUUUAGGGCAUUUGACUAGUGUUUUUAGUAAGUCGGGUAAUCUCCUCUAAAUCUAUAAGUUCUCGUUUCUUGCUUCAAUUUGAUCUCUCAUUAUAUUUGUACCUUUUCUAAUAAAAUCCUAAAGUAAUCUUGGAUCUUAGC